ACUGUCUAUGAUGAUGCUUAUCCUACAUUGUUCGAGUUUAACUACCAUGAGAAAACUUGACAUGCACUACCAUCUGAGACGGC
ensembl:snoRNA SNORD33 Small nucleolar RNA Z195/SNORD33/SNORD32 family